AGAGUUUGAUCCUGGCUCAGAACGAACGCUGGCGGUAUGCUUAACACAUGCAAGUCGAACGGACUUAUUGGGGCUUGCUCCAAUAAGUUAGUGGCAAACGGGUGAGUAACGCGUGGGAAUCUACCCAUCAGUACGGAAUAACAUUUGGAAACAAAUGCUAAUACCGUAUAUUCUCUUCGGAGGAAAGAUUUAUCGCUGAUGGAUGAGCCCGCGUCAGAUUAGGUAGUUGGUAGGGUAAUGGCCUACCAAGCCGACGAUCUGUAGCUGGUCUGAGAGGAUGAUCAGCCACACUGGGACUGAGACACGGCCCAGACUCCUACGGGAGGCAGCAGUGGGGAAUAUUGGACAAUGGGCGCAAGCCUGAUCCAGCAAUGCCGCGUGAGUGAGGAAGGCCUUAGGGUUGUAAAGCUCUUUCACCCGCGACGAUGAUGACGGUAGCGGGAGAAGAAGCCCCGGCUAACUUCGUGCCAGCAGCCGCGGUAAUACGAAGGGGGCGAGCGUUGUUCGGAUUUACUGGGCGUAAAGGGCGCGCAGGCGGCGGUUUUUGUCAGGCGUGAAAGCCCCGGGCUUAACCUGGGAACUGCGCUUGAAACGGGAUCGCUAGAGUUCGGGAGAGGAGAGUGGAAUUCCCAGUGUAGAGGUGAAAUUCGUAGAUAUUGGGAAGAACACCGGUGGCGAAGGCGGCUCUCUGGACCGAGACUGACGCUGAGGC
rnacentral:rRNA from 1 species